rnacentral:lncRNA from 1 species
UGGAGGAGCAGGGGUGAUGAUGUAGCUGACCUAUCAUGGAGGAGCAGGGUGAUGAUGUAGCUGACCUAUCAUGGAGGAGCAGGAUGAUGAUGUAGCUGACCUAUCAUGGAGGAGCAGGGGUGAAAAUGUAGCUGACCUAUCUUUGAGGAGCAGGGGUGGUGAUGUAGCUGACCUAUCAUGUAGGACCAGGAUGAUGUAGCUGACCUAUCAUGGAGGAGCAGGCUGAUGAUGUAGCUGACCUAUCAUGGAAGAGCAGGGUGAAGAUGUAGCUGACCUAUCAUGGAGGAGCAGGAGUGAUGAUGUAGCUGACCUAUCAUGGAGGAGCAGGGGUGAUGAUGUAGCUGACCUAUCAGGGAAGAGCAGGAGUGAUGAUGUAGCUGACCAAUCAUGGAGGAGCAGGAUGAUGAUGUAGCUGACCUAUCAUGGAUGAGCAGGAUGAUGAUGUAGCUGACCUGUCAUGGAGGAGCAGGAUGAUGUUGUAGCUAAUCUAUCAUGGAGUAGCAGGAUGAUGAUGUAGCUGACCUAUAAAGGAGGAGCAGGGUGAUGAUGUAGCUGACCUAUCAGGGAGGAGCAGGAGUCAUGAUGUAGCUGACCUAUCAUGGAGGAGCAGGAGUGAUGAUGUAGCUGACCUAUCAUGGAGGACGAGAAUGAAGUAGCUGACCAAUCAUGGAGGAGCAGGGGUGAUGAUGUUGCUGACCUAUCAUGGAUGAGCAGGGGUGAUGAUGUAGCUGACCUAUCAUGGAGGAGCAGAAUGAUGUAGCUGACCUAUCAUGGAGGAGAGGGGUGAUGAUGUAGCUGACCUAUCAUGGAGGAGCAGGAUAAUGAUGAAGCUGACCUAUCAUGGAGGAGCAGGGGUGAUGAUGUAGCUGACCUAUCAUGGAGGAGCAGGGGAGAUGAUGUAGCUGACCUAUCAUGGAGGAGCAGGAGUGAUGAUGUAGCUGACCUAUCAUGAAGGAGCAGGAUGAUGUAGCUGACCUAUCAUUGAGGAGCAGGGGUGAUAAUGUAGCUGACCUAUCAUGGAUGAGCAGGUCGAUGAUGUAGCUGACCUAUAAUGGAGGUGCAGGGGUGAUGAUGUAGCUGACCUAUCAUGGAGGAGCAGAAUGAUGUAGCUUACCUAUCAUGGAGGAGCAGGGGUGAUGAUGUAGCUGACCUAUCAUGGAGGAGCAGGGGUGAUGAUGUAGCUGACCUAUCACGGAGGAGCAGGGGUGAUGAUGUAGCUGACCUAUCACGGAGGAUCAGGGUGAUGAUGUAGCUGACCUAUCAUGGAGGAGCAGGGGUGAUGAUGCAACUGACCUAUCAUGGAGGAGCAGGGGUGAUGAUGUAGCUGACCUAUCAUGGAGGAGCAGGGUUGAUGAUGUAGCUGACCUAUCAUGGAGGAGCAGGGGUGAUGAUGUAGCUGACCUAUCAUGGAG